rnacentral:rRNA from 1 species
ACGGGAGGCAGCAGUAGGGGAUAUUGCACAAUGGAGGAAACUCUGAUGCAGCAACGCCGCGUGAGGGAAGAAGGUUUUCGGAUUGUAAACCUCUGUUUUUAGUGAAGAAAAAAAUGACGGUAGCUAAAGAGGAAGCCACGGCUAACUACGUGCCAGCAGCCGCGGUAAUACGUAGGUGGCAAGCGUUGUCCGGAUUUACUGGGUGUAAAGGGUGCGCAGGCGGGACUGCAAGUUGGAUGUGAAAUACCGAGGCUUAACCUCGGGGCUGCAUCCAAAACUGUAGUUCUUGAGUGGAGUAGAGGUAGGCGGAAUUCCGAGUGUAGCGGUGGAAUGCGUAGAUAUUCGGAGGAACACCGGUGGCGAAGGCGGCCUACUGGGCUUUAACUGACGCUGAGGCUCGAAAGUGUGGGGAGCAAACAGGAUUAGAUACCCUGGUA